rnacentral:misc_RNA from 1 species
GAUGAAGAACGCAGCGAAAUGCGAUAAGUAAUGUGAAUUGCAGAAUUCAGUGAAUCAUCGAAUCUUUGAACGCACAUUGCGCCCCCUGGUAUUCCGGGGGGCAUGCCUGUCCGAGCGUCAUUACAACCCUCAAGCUCAGCUUGGUGUUGGGCCCCGCCGCCCCGGCGGGCCCUAAAGCCAGUGGCGGUGCCGUCCGGCUCCGAGCGUAGUAAUUCUUCUCGCUCUGGAGGUCCGGUCGUGUGCUCGCCAGCAACCCCCAAUUUUUUUCAGGUUGACCUCGGAUCAGGUAGGGAUACCCGCUGAACUUAAGCAUAUCAAUAAGCGGAGGA